GACCUCAAAUCAGGUAGGACUACCCGCUGAACUUAAGCAUAUCAAUAAGCGGAGGAAAAGAAACUAACAAGGAUUCCCCUAGUAACUGCGAGUGAAGCGGGAAAAGCUCAAAUUUAAAAGCUGGCAGUCUUUGAUUGUCCGCAUUGUAAUCUAGAGAAGUGUUACCCGCGUUGGACCGUGUACAAGUCUCCUGGAAUGGAGCGUCAUAGAGGGUGACAAUCCCGUCUUUGACACGGACUCCCAAGGCUUUGUGGUGCGCUCUCAAAGAGUCGCGUUGUUUGGGAAUGCAGCGCAAAAUGGGUGGUAAAUUCCAUCUAAAGCUAAAUAUUGGCGAGAGACCGAUAGCGAACAAGUACCGUGAGGGAAAGAUGAAAAGAACUUUGGAAAGAGAGUUAAACAGUACGUGAAAUUGCUGAAAGGGAAACGCUUGAAGUCAGUCGCGUCGUCCGGAGAUCAACCUUGCUUUUGCUGGGCGUACUCUCCGGUUGACGGGCCAGCAUCAGUUUUGACCAUUGGAAAAGGGCAGAGGGAAUGUGGCAUCUUCGGAUGUGUUAUAGCCCUCUGUCGUAUACAGUGGUUGGGACUGAGGAACUCAGCACGCCGCAAGGCGGGGAUUCGUCUACCUUCGUGCUUAGGAUGCUGGCAUAAUGGCUUUAAUCGACCCGUCUUGAAACACGGACCCAAGGAGUCUAACAUGCCUGCGAGUGUUUGGGUGGAAAACCCGAGCGCGUAAUGAAAGUGAAAGUUGAGAUCCCUGUCGUGGGGAGCAUCGACGCCCGGACCAGACCUUUUGUGACGGAUCUGCGGUAGAGCAUGUAUGUUGGGACCCGAAAGAUGGUGAACUAUGCCUGAAUAGGGUGAAGCCAGAGGAAACUCUGGUGGAGGCUCGUAGCGAUUCUGACGUGCAAAUCGAUCGUCAAAUUUGGGUAUAGGGGCGAAAGACUAAUCGAACCAUCU
rnacentral:rRNA from 1 species